AUGGGUCCCACCAGUCCGUUUGUUCACUUUCCCCAUUCUAUAGUCUUCUCGACUUCUCAGUUCAUCUUACCCACUCACACUCCCUCUCGCCCGAUCCCCUUUCUCCUUUCCUUAUUCUAUCUGCUCACUCCAAAAUUGCUGCCGCUGGAUAGCUCCCAUCAACUUGCUCUCUUGAUUCGCAACCGGUGCUUCCAUAUUGUGUCCAUCAGCGGCGGCUAGUAUGGCUUCUCGUAUGUCUCCUCAGUCUCGUACGCUGUUGAAUGGCGAUUGAGGAGUAGUCGGGUCCAAGGAUCAAGUGUAGCAAGGAAUCAUUGAUCUGCACGGUGUCGGUGUUCUUGGCGUCCGUGCAGUUGAUUUGGGCAGAAUGUCGUCUCAUGCAGCCCGGUUGGAUCCAUCUUGAGUAUUAGGAUGCUGGCGACGUUGUCUUCCCCAAGUGUGCAAGCCAGAAACAUCAUUGGUAUUCUCGCUCCAGGUAGCCCGGCACGUCGUUGUCAUCCUCCAAGGUGUCGACAUUUUCCGAAGUUCGAAGUCCGACCUGCAGUCUGGCAUACAGUGAAUCAUGCAAAUGGCUUGAUGUCGCGCAUAAGAUGAUACCUGCUGGAGGUGUUGUUGUCGCUGGACGGAGUUAAUACUGUAGGUUGUUACGUCUCUGGCUCGAGUUGAUUGGACAAUCCUCAAUAUUACGUACAAUGGUCUACAAGCACAAUAUUGGUAAGUGGAAGUAAAGGUAAGUGGCUUGCCUCUUGAUAACCUUAAAAUUCUUCUCUCGUGACUUUCACAACACUUGUAAUCCAUGUAUCCAUUUUUGGCAUGGCUUAUUCACCGGGAUAAAAUAUUAGGUGUAACAUCUCACUGUUAAGAACUUGACAACUGCACAAAGAACUGUGCAUCGCUAGGUGGCUGAGAGUAACUACAAUUCUUUUAAGAAGUGCAGCUCUAAACAAUGCUUAGUUUUGGGAGUAAUUAUCUUGAGCAUUGUCCAUUUUCUUCCUCAUCACGAUGCUAUCCCUUUCGCUUAACUCAGUCUAAUGCAAAAUCAAGCAAGAAAAUAAAUUCAGGUUAUUUGGAGCAAAAUUUUCUGGCUUUUUUAUAUAAUAGAGGAAUACCAAAUAGCAAAAAAUUAGGUUUAGGACCUAGGAAGCAGACAACAAUAAAGUAGUAAGCAUGAACAUUUUCAUCUCGGCACAAAAAGUUAAGUACAGUUUGAACGCCAAUGUUCUAGAACUCAUUUGGUUCUCAAUUACUGUAUAAAUGGACACAACAGUCGUAUAACUUGUAAGAUAUAGGUAACUGUAGGUUGCACAAAAAACUAAAACCAAGUAAGCGAUGCAGAGGAAAAUCUUAAGUAAUCAAGAUUGAUUUGAGUGGAUUUAGAUUACUGGUGUCUUGGAUGGUUAUAAAUUAAGGAGAUACAUUGGUGUAGAUCUAUUAAUAUUUAUGGUACGUGCUUUAAUUGUUGGAUGUUUUGAUUCUUUGUUGGAUUUUCUGGUAUGUCUUUUUUAUUGGGUUAGCUUUGCAUGUACUUCUAAUAAACAUUGGUUGUAGUUACAACAACUCUGUGACUUUGGCAUCGCGGUGCAGGUGCGGCAUAUGGGUAGACUCAGGACGUGCAAUCGGCUUGUGCAGGUCAGCGGCGGCAAUGAAUUCCCGUUUAACAUUUUUGUAAAUUUUGUUGGAAGGUUAUUCUUGUAAGCUUGGAGUUGGUGAAUACCUAAUAUAUAAUGUACGGGAUAUGUGAGCAUGAAUAUUGACCAUAAAAUAA